rnacentral:lncRNA from 1 species
GGGGCUCGAGUCGAGCGGAAGGGACUUGUGCCCCAGAUCAGGCCCGGGUAGCCUGCUUCCCUAUGUACCGCAGUCCCGAAUCUUCCAGAGUCGCUGUCCAUUUGGGAAGUGGUUCUUCAGAGACACCAGAGGGUGCAUAUGAGCCGUGAGGUGCAGUUGGGAAUCUACACAGAUGGAUUCAUUUUUCUCUAUCUCAGUCCUUUGCUAGCUGUGAUCUGUAUGCCUUCUCCCAUUUGUCAGUAAUCUUGUGCCUUUAUUUGUCCCUUGGCAGGCUCCCUCCCUGAACAUGGUGCACCAAACUGUGCAGUGGGAUCAGAGACGAAUCCACUGUGCUUCCCUCUAUCCCCAGGCCCGUGGUCUAGUGAGGGGGAGAGAAGAACCAAUGUGCCAGCAUCAGGGCUGUCUCUUCUGCUUACUCUCUGCUGCUGGAAUGGGGUAGCAAAUGAGCUGCCAUAGCUCUACCUGCCCCUACCACCCCACCGUCUCCCAGGACAAGCGACUCUGUAACACCCAGGCUCAGAAAAGACCUUCCUGCAUUAGUAAAUGAGGAUUCUCUGGAGAUGAACAGAAAUGCAGGUCCAGAAAUUCAAGCCUCGGGUAUGAGCAAGGCGAUGAUGCUUCUGGAGUCUGGGGAGGAUCUCUCCUAUCCCUUCCGGUUCCCAGGGCUCCAGGCAUUCCUUGGCCUCAUCUGGCUUGCCACAUUCUCCUGCAAGUGACCAGCCGACAUGGUUGAACCCAGUAGACUAUGCUACGUGGAAUAAGCCAGUCACAGAAUAUGGGAGAACCACUUUCUAAAUGUCUGCUAGAAGAUUGGGAGUUUGAACCCAGUUCUUAGACGUGUGCUCCAGCCCACUUUCCUGCUUUGGCCUUUCUUAUCCUUUGGCCUUCUUAGUUUUCACACUUAAAUUCCCACUGAGAGGGUGGUGGCGAAAGUCUGCUUGUUUUGUCUCAGCUUCUCCCAUUUCUUCUUAACGAUCAUUUAGAAGCUGAAGCCUUAGAAGCCGGCAGGUAAAACUAGGCACUGGGGCACAACUGUGACCCCAGCUUCUCAGAAGAUGAGGCAGGAGGAUUGCUUGAGCCCAGGAUUCCAGUGCCACCCUAGGCAACACAGUGAGGGGACCCGAGAGAGAGAGAGAGAGAGAGAGAGAGAGAGAGAGAGAGAGAGAGGGGGGGGGGGGAGGGGGAGAGGGGGAGAGGGGGAGAGGGAGGAGAGGGAGGAGAGGGAGGAGAGGGAGAGAGGGAGGAGAGGGAGGAGAGGGAGGAGAGGGAGGAGAGGGAGGAGAGGGAGGAGAGAGAGGGAGAGAGGGAGAGAGGGAGAGAGGGAGAGAGGGAGAGAGGGAGAGAGGGAGAGAGGGAGAGAGGGAGAGAGGGAGAGAGGGAGAGAGGGAGAGGGGAGAGCUAAGCCCAGAGUCAGUGCUGGCUGCAAGCUUCACGCUGCUCUAGGCCUUGUGUUAGAACUGUAGCUUUGAGUCCAUGCACCUGUGUUCUUUUCAGCUGAGAUUCCCCUAAAAUUCCCUAUGGGGAAAGUUUUACCAAAGUAAAUCUUUUUGGCUUAUAAUGAAGUCUUGUAGCUGCCUAAAAGUGAAACCGUGCAAAGGUUUGGGAUGCGAAGCAUGCACCUUCACUGCAGGACCCAGGUGUUUACAGCUCCUUACCUUCCCUCUCCUCCUCCACCCUCACCCCCUUCUGCCCACCUCCUCCUUUUCUUCUCCUCCCUCUUCUGCUUCCUUCUCCUGUUUCUUCUCUUCACAGUGUAUGUUCCUUGUUCUGUGGAGGCAGUGAACUUGGCCGCGGGAGAAUACAAUGGAGUGGACUGAUUGGAGGCCGUAGUGGUUUCUUCCCACUCACUCUUCGGCUGUUCUUGAACUCAGUAGCAGGACCUAGGAGGCAGUUAGCAACGAUUCCAGGAUUCCACGACAUCUUGCCCUGCUGCCUGCUGUUCCCUGGAGCCUCAGUUGCCUGGCAAGCACACAGCAGGACCACGAUUCUCUGGGGAUUAGGUUUCUCCAUUCUCAGUGUGGGAAUGAGACUGUUUCCUCCCUCACAGGUGGCCGCAAGGAAUUAUAAACCAAUAAAGUGAUUGCUUAGCAUAUGGCUGAAUGUCAAGGGUAAUAUAAAUGCUUAAUUUCAUUUAUUUAAUAGUAGUUCAGUUGCUGUGGAAACUCUAACUUCUCAAUUUCUUGACACUUAUCUGUGCUAUUGUUUUAAAAUGAAAUUUUACAUUUAAAUCCUGUG